rnacentral:rRNA from 1 species
UACGGGGGGAGCAAGCGUUGUUCGGAUUUACUGGGCGUAAAGGGCGCGUAGGCGGCCACCGCAAGUCGGUUGUGAAAUCUCCGGGCUUAACCCGGAAAGGUCAAUCGAUACUGCGGGGCUAGAGUGCAGAAGGGGCAACUGGAAUUCUUGGUGUAGCGGUGAAAUGCGUAGAUAUCAGGAGGAACACCGGUGGCGAAGGCGGGUCUCUGGGCCGAUACUGACGCUGAGGAGCGAAAGCGUGGGGAGCGAACAGG